AACGAACGCUGGCGGCAUACCUAACACAUGCAAGUCGAACGAGACCUUCGGGUCUAGUGGCGCACGGGUGCGUAACGCGUGGGAACCUGCCCUUAGGUUCGGAAUAACUCCCCGAAAGGGGUGCUAAUACCGGAUAAUGUCUUCGGACCAAAGAUUUAUCGCCUUUUGAUGGGCCCGCGUUGGAUUAGCUAGUUGGUAGGGUAAAAGCCUACCAAGGCGACGAUCCAUAGCUGGUCUGAGAGGAUGAUCAGCCACACUGGGACUGAGACACGGCCCAGACUCCUACGGGAGGCAGCAGUGGGGAAUAUUGGACAAUGGGCGAAAGCCUGAUCCAGCAAUGCCGCGUGAGUGAUGAAGGCCUUAGGGUUGUAAAGCUCUUUUACCCGGGAUGAUAAUGACAGUACCGGGAGAAUAAGCGCCGGCUAACUCCGUG
rnacentral:rRNA from 1 species